rnacentral:rRNA from 1 species
ACGGAGGGUGCAAGCGUUGUUCGGAAUCACUGGGCGUAAAGGGCGUGUAGGCGGUCCGCUAAGUCUGAUGUGAAAGCCCGGGGCUCACCCCCGGAAGGGCAUUGGAAACUGGCGGACUCGAGUCCCGGAGAGGAAGGUGGAAUUCCUGGUGUAGCGGUGAAAUGCGUAGAUAUCAGGAGGAAUACCAGUGGCGAAGGCGAGUCUCUGGGAUGAUGCUGACGCUGAGGCGCGAAAGCCAGGGGAGCAAACGGGA